CCUCUAGCAUCAACAAGGCAUUUUCACCCACAGGACUGCCGCAUACUGGAUGUUUUUCCCUUUUCACACCAUUCUUUGUAAACCCUAGAAAUGGUUGUGCAUGAAAAUCCCAGUAACUGAGCAGAUUGUGAAAUACUCAGACCGGCCCAUCUGGCACCAACAACCAUGCCACGCUCAAAAUUGCUUAAAUCACCUUUCUUUCCCAUUCUGACAUUCAGUUUGGAGUUCAGGAGAUUGUCUUGACCAGGACCACACCCCUAAAUGCAUUGAAGCAACUGCCAUGUGAUUGGUUGAUUAGAUAAUUGCAUUAAUGAGAAAUUGAACAGGUGUUCCCAAUAAUCCUUUAGGUGAGUGUGUGUUAUUAUCAUGUUUAAUAAAAACAUGUACUUCUAAGGUUACAACACAAGUACAGGUCCAGACACAUGCCAAUGAUCACACAGAACCAAGCAUUUCAGACCUUUUUCCUUUCCUUUACUAUUGAAAUGAUGAUUCCGUUAAUGUCCACAAUGUUUUAAGAAUUUUUAAGACGUUUUAAGAAAUUGUUUAAGAAUUGACAUUAAGGGUAGCUUAAAGGUCAAAAGGGCAGAUUAUUGUAGAAAUGUAUUGAGCUGAUGUAUUGAUUAAUUAUACCAUUGUAUAAGAGAGUGAAAAAUCACUAGCUACCUACUGUGUUGAUAAUGAAGCACUGAGGUCAUGUAUUUAGAUAGUAGGAAAAUGCAAGAGGUAAACUAAUCAAAGCAACAAGACUAGGCUGAUUGAGACCAUAGUUAUGUGUUGAUCAAAGGUCAGUAAUUUCUUGUUCAUACAAAAUAAGGUGUUUCUGAACUGUACGGCAGACACUGUCACUGAUCUUGUUUUAGUGUCUUUCUGUUUCUAUUUGCAAAUAUGAAUAAACAAUUAUAAAGUAUUUUGAUCUCUACCUUACCUACAUUAACCCAGUGAGCAAUGGAUUGCGGCCCGCCUGUGUUUUGCUGCUGGCGGGCCGUAGGAGGCUAUAAUGACCUCAAACCAGCGGGCCACCAGCUUUUGCCGCUUUUCUCCUGAUCUCAAUUUGCAUAAGCUAAUUUGGAUCUCAGGUGGCUUUCCAACCGACUGCUUUACGCUGGUGGCUAGAGAAGGUGAAGAGAAGCCUUACGCUGUGAUCUGCUGUAUCUGCUUGUGUUGCCAUUUUCUUUCAGCAGAGAUGCUAUUGUACCCCUGUACUGAUUAUUUGUAUGAACUUUAUUUUAAUAUUGUUAAAUCUUAGUGUACAGAAUUUUUGUCAACAUUGGUAGUUUAUAAAUAAAAUAGACUUUGACUAUUGCACUAUUGCUAGUGUAAA
ensembl:lncRNA